rnacentral:rRNA from 1 species
GACGAACGCUGGCGGCGUGCCUAAUACAUGCAAGUCGAGCGGAUCUCUGAAGUAGCUUGCUCCUGAUGAGGUUAGCGGCGGACGGGUGAGUAACACGUAGGUAACCUGCCUGCAAGCCUGGGAUAACAUCCGGAAACGGAUGCUAAGACCGGAUACGCAGCUUGGUCGCAUGACCAAGCUGGGAAAGACGGAGCAAUCUGUCGCUUGCAGAUGGGCCUGCGGCGGAUUAGCUAGUUGGUGAGGUAACGGCCCACCAAGGCGACGAUGCGUAGCCGAGAUGAGAGGAUGAACAGACAGAGUGGGACGGGGGCACGGCCCAGACUCCGACGGGAGGCAGCAGUGGGGAAUGUUCGAAAAUGGACGCAAGUCUGAUGGAGCAACGCCGCGUGAGUGAGGAAGGCCUUCGGGUCGUAAAGCUCUGUUGCCAGGGAAGAACGCCUAGGGGAGUAACUGCUCUUAGGGUGACGGUACCUGAGAAGAAAGCCCCGGCUAACUACGUGCCAGCCGCCGCCGUAAUAC